rnacentral:rRNA from 1 species
UACAUAGGUAGCGAGCGUUAUCCGGAAUAACUGGGCGUAAAGGGAGUGUAGGUGGCAUUGCAAGUCUUGUGUGAAAUCCCUCAGCUUAACUGAGGAACUGCACAAGAAACUGUAGAGCUAGAGUGCGAGAGAGGCAAGUGGAAUUCCUAGUGUAGCGGUAGAAUGCGUAGAGAUUAGGAGGAACACCAGAGGCGAAGGCGACUUGCUGGCUCGUAACUGACACUGAGACUCGAAAGCGUGGGGAGCAAAC